AAGGAAAUAAUAAACCUCAAGAAAGACCUUGCACGAAGCCGGUGAGUGAGCCCAGCGCCAGUGACCCCUCGACAUCCUGAUGGUGCUAAGCAGGCUGUGGGGCGAUGCCUCAUCCUGAUUCAGUGGGUGAAAAUUGGUCGUGGAUACUUUACCAUGCUGAGGGAAGAGAGUGCAAUGAAGAAGCAGCAGCAACAACUUCAGAAACUAAAAGAGGAAGAAAUGAAUAAAUUCCAGCCAGCCACAAAGCUGCCAGAAAUCCAGUAUGGGGA
rnacentral:lncRNA from 1 species